AUGGCAAGGACUAUGUGGAACCAAACAGCGACUACUGGCUGUCUUCUUGUAGAAAACCCUUGCACUGCUCAAGCAUCUCUACUCUAUUCCUUCCUUUUCUUCAUGCCCCCUAAGGUGCAAAGUGUGAUACGCCUGCAGCCAGUGAAGUUGUUGGAGUCUUGGAGGGCUUCAGAGGGGCUUUCUCUGGCAGAAUUCUUCAAGAAAGGGGAAAAGUGCAGGUUUUGUAAUACAGCUUUUGUAAAUAAAUACCUAAAUUGCAUGUAAUUCAACAGCUAAGCAUUUUCUUAAGCACUAGUAUCAAGAUACUGACUAAAAAGUAAAUAAUAUGAAAAAUUUCUGCUAGUAAAAUCUUCUCUUUCCUAAUAUAAAAGAAGGUGGAGAAAAUAUAUUGUAUAUGCAAAAUGUUUUUUUGCUUUUUUUGAAGCAAAGAGUGUGUAUAAUGAAAACUAUUUGAAAUAAGUUUAAGAAAAAUGUGCUUGAAUGCAAUAAUGUAAGAAAAAAAAGCUUUACAAGAUUUUACAAGAUUGUAUCUGUAAUUCAUUGUAACCAGGGGAAAACUGAUUCUUCUGUAGAGUGCAGACAAACAGACAACAUUCCACUGGCUUGGACUGGGGCUCUGUGUAGGUGGCAUGUUGGCCCUUGGCACAGAGUGACUUCACAGUGCUAGGUGAUACCAUUUUAAACAGUUAAUUAAACUAAAGUUUAAAUGUUUUAGACCCACAUUUCAGCCCCCAAAAUCUGAAAAUAAAGGACCAUCUUACUUCCUCUCA
rnacentral:lncRNA from 1 species